rnacentral:rRNA from 1 species
UACGAGGGGAGCAAGCGUUGUUCGGAUUUACUGGGCGUAAAGGGCGCGUAGGCGGUCGUGACAAGUCACUUGUGAAAUCUCCGGGCUUAACUCGGAACGGUCAAGUGAUACUGUCGGACUAGAGUACAGAAGGGGCAACUGGAAUUCUCGGUGUAGCGGUGAAAUGCGUAGAUAUCGAGAGGAACACCUGCGGCGAAGGCGGGUUGCUGGGCUGAUACUGACACUGAGGAGCGAAAGCGUGGGUAGCAAACAGG